AUUGAACGCUGGCGGCAUGCCUUACACAUGCAAGUCGAACGGUAACGCGGGGCAACCUGGCGACGAGUGGCGAACGGGUGAGUAAUGCAUCGGAACGUGCCCGGUAGGGGGGGAUAACUGCUCGAAAGAGCAGCUAAUACCGCAUACGACCUGAGGGUGAAAGCGGGGGACCGUAAGGCCUCGCGCGAUUGGAGCGGCCGAUGUCAGAUUAGCUAGUUGGUGGGGUAAAGGCCUACCAAGGCAACGAUCUGUAGUUGGUCUGAGAGGACGACCAGCCACACUGGGACUGAGACACGGCCCAGACUCCUACGGGAGGCAGCAGUGGGGAAUUUUGGACAAUGGGCGCAAGCCUGAUCCAGCAAUGCCGCGUGCAGGAAGAAGGCCUUCGGGUUGUAAACUGCUUUUGUCAGGGAAGAAAUCUUCUGGGCUAAUACCCCGGGAGGAUGACGGUACCUGAAGAAUAAGCACCGGCUAACUACGUGCCAGCAGCCGCCGUAACAC
rnacentral:rRNA from 1 species